CUGCACCCUCUCCACUCACACAGCUCUGAAAGCAGUGACUGAACAGAGGAAAAUCCAUUCCUGUGGGCAGACCUACUCAGCUGCUAUUCACCUCCUGGCGUAUGUGUGCACCCUUUUACCUAUAGCUACCUAGGGCAAAUCUCUCCUCCACCCCCUUAGUACGCCACUAUGCCACUGGCCUGGAUCUCUGAGUGUGUAUCUCUGUCUGUGACUGUAUAAAGCACACCUAUAAAGCACAGGGGGCAUGACCAGUUGUAAAGAGCUCAAAGUAUUCUGUAGUUGGCCAUGGUUGUAAAUAUGUACAUUGCAUAUAAGAGGGAGAUAGACUGUACAAAUAAGUAUAACCUUAUCAAACAAUGGAGUGUUAAAGGGAUGUUUGCUUAAUAUAGAAAUUGUGAUGGAUAGAUCAUGCCCCUGCAUUCUCAAUGCUUGAUUAUCU